rnacentral:ncRNA from 1 species
CAGGGAAUGAAGUUCUCCCCCGGGGCAACCCGAAACCGCUUGCAAUGAGCUGAUGACUUCUGCGA